rnacentral:rRNA from 1 species
GUCCCGCAACGAGCGCAACCCUUGAUUUUAGUUGCCAGCACCUCGGGUGGGCACUCUAGAAUGACUGCCGGUGACAAACCGGAGGAAGGCGGGGAUGACGUCAAAUCAUCAUGCCCCUUAUGACCUGGGCUACACACGUACUACAAUGGCCGGUACAACGGGCCGCGAAGCCGCGAGGCGGAGCCAAUCCUAAAAAGCCGGUCUCAGUUCGGAUUGCAGGCUGCAACUCGCCUGCAUGAAGUCGGAAUUGCUAGUAAUCGCGGAUCAGCAUGCCGCGGUGAAUACGUUCCCGGGUCUUGUACACACCGCCCGUCACACCACGAGAGUUUACAACACCCGAAGUCGGUGGGGUAACCCGCAAGGGAGCCAGCCGCCGAAGGUGGGGUAGAUG